AUACGGAGGGUGCAAGCGUUAUUCGGAAUCAUUGGGUGUAAAGGGUCCGUAGGCGGGCAAUUAAGUCAGAGGUGAAAUCCCACAGCUCAACUGUGGAACUGCCUUUGAUACUGGUUGUCUUGAAUUAUAGUGAAGUAGAUAGAAUAUGUAGUGUAGCGGUGAAAUGCUUAGAUAUUACAUAGAAUACCGAUUGCGAAGGCAGUCUACUAACUGUAUAUUGACGCUGAUGGACGAAAGCGUGGGGAGCGAACAGGAUUAGAAACCCCAGUAGUCC
rnacentral:rRNA from 1 species